rnacentral:rRNA from 1 species
UGGGGAAUCUUGGACAAUGGGGGCAACCCUGAUCCAGCCAUGCCGCGUGAGUGAUGAAGGCCUUAGGGUCGUAAAGCUCUUUCGCCUGUGAAGAUAAUGACGGUAGCAGGUAAAGAAACCCCGGCUAACUCCGUGCCAGCAGCCGCGGUAAUACGGAGGGGGUUAGCGUUGUUCGGAAUUACUGGGCGUAAAGCGCACGUAGGCGGACCAGAAAGUUGGGGGUGAAAUCCCGGGGGCUCAACCCCGGAACUGCCUCCAAAACUAUUGGUCUAGAGUUCGAGAGAGGUGAGUGGAAUUCCAAGUGUAGAGGUGAAAUUCGUAGAUAUUCGGAGGAACACCAGUGGCGAAGGCGGCUCACUGGCUCGAUACUGACGCUGAGGUGCGAAAGUGUGGGGAGCAAAACAGGAUUAGAUACCCUGGUAGUCCACACCGUAAAACGAUGAAUGCCAGUCGUCGGAUAGCAUGCUAUUCGGUGACACACCUAACGGAUUAAAGCAUUCCGCCUGGGGAGUACGGUCGCAAGAUUAAAACUUAAAUGAAUUGA